rnacentral:misc_RNA from 1 species
AACACUCGCAUACAUGUUAGACUCCUUGGUCCGUGUUUCAAGACGGGUCGUUUAAAGCCAUUACGUCAGCGUCCUUAACGAAUUUAUACUCGCUCUAACCUUUUGAUCAAUAAUCAGACCAUAGUCAGCAUGCUGUCUAUAACCCGACAUCGAAUCAGAGGACAGGCGGCUAGCCUAAAAGGUAUCCGUUGCAAUCCUCGAUCCCAAACAUCACAUUAAUUAGAGGUUAUAACACUCCCGAAAGAGCUACCUUCCCCCAAUCAUUUUAUGACGUUCAAAAUCGACGCUAACCUGCCAAGCGAAGAAGUGCAUUUCAAGGUUAGGUUCAAAAAUCCCCCUUCCUAAAAAUUGAUUCCCGCCGGCAUGACUGACUUCAAUCGUUUCCCUUUCAACAAUUUCACGUACUAUUUAACUCUCUUUUCAAAGUUCUUUUCAUCUUUCCCUCACGGUACUUGUUCGCUAUCGGUCUCUCGCUUAUAUUUAGCAUUAGGUGAAAUUUACCACCCAUUUAGAGCUGCAUUCCCAAACAACUCGACUCUUAGAGAACGUAUUAAUAACAUUCCAGCGGUUGAUAUAUACGGGAUUCUCACCCUCCAUGAUACCUUAUCCCAAAGGAUUUAAAUCAACCCGGAACGUUAAAAACGUUUCUUCAAAUUACAACUCGAUCUGGUAAAACCAGAUAGAUUUAAAAUUUGUGCUCUUCCCGCUUCUCUCGCCGUUACUAGGGGAAUCCUUGUUAGUUUCUUUUCCUCCGCUUAUUGAUAUGCUUAAGUUCAGCGGGUAAUCUCACUUGACUUGAGGUCAUUAUCAGAAAUUAUACACUAACUACUAAAUUUAUAUUUAGUUGAUAAUGUAAUAAUAAAACUUUAAUGAUUAACGACUUUUUUAUCUUAGUACGUAUCACAUUAUAUAAUCCUUAAUUUUAGGUAACCGACAUAAAAUCGGAUAACCCAGAUCCGCAACAUCAAAAAGAUGUAACGAUAUAUUUUUUUUUUAACUGACCCUCAAGCAAGUGUACUUCUCGGAAUACCAAGAAGCGCAAUUUGCGUUCAAAGAUUUAAUGAUUCACGGAAUUCUGCAAUUCACAUUACUUAUCGCAUUUCGCUGCGUUCUUCAUCGAUGCGAGAGCCAAGAGAUCCGUUGUUGAAAGUUUUUAUUUUUAAUUAAAAAAAUAACUUUUUUUUUAAGAGUUGGGUUUUAAAUACAAGAGAGGUAUAAAUACCUCAAAUUUUUUAAUGAUCCUUCCGCAGGUUCACCUACGGAAACCUUGUUACGACUUUUACUUCCUCUAAAUGACCAAGUUUGACCAACUUCUCAACAAACGGAUGCCGGUUAAAGCUUCCAUUCGUCGAUCCGAGGGUCUCACUAAGCCAUUCAAUCGGUAGUAGCGACGGGCGGUGUGUACAAAGGGCAGGGACGUAAUCAACGUGAGCUGAUGACUCACGCUUACUAGGGAUUCCUCGUUGAAGAACAA